UGAGAAUCCCCUCCACCGAAUGCCUAAGGUUUCCUGAGGAAGGCUCGUCCGCUCAGGGUUAGUCGGGACCUAAGCCGAGGCCGAAAGGCGUAGGCGAUGGACAACAGGUUGAUAUUCCUGUACCACCUCCUCACCAUUUGAGCAAUGGGGGGACGCAGGAGGAUAGGGUAAGCGCGGUAUUGGAUAUCCGCGUCCAAGCAGUUAGGCUGGGAAAUAGGCAAAUCCGUUUCCCAUAAGGCUGAGCUGUGAUGGCGAGCGGAAUAUAGUAGCGAAGUUCCUGAUUCCACACUGCCAAGAAAAGCCUCUAGCGAGGUGAGAGGUGCCCGUACCGCAAACCGACACAGGUAGGCGAGGAGAGAAUCCUAAGGUGAUCGAGAGAACUCUCGUUAAGGAACUCGGCAAAAUGACCCCGUAACUUCGGGAGAAGGGGUGCUCUGUUAGGGUGCAAGCCCGAGAGAGCCGCAGUGAAUAGGCCCAGGCGACUGUUUAGCAAAAACACAGGUCUCUGCGAAGCCGUAAGGCGAAGUAUAGGGGCUGACGCCUGCCCGGUGCUGGAAGGUUAAGAGGAGCGCUUAGCGUAAGCGAAGGUGCGAAUUGAAGCCCCAGUAAACGGCGGCCGUAACGAUAACGGUCCUAAGGUAGCGAAAUUCCUUGUCGGGUAAGUUCCGACCCGCACGAAAGGCGCAACGAUCUGGGCACUGUCUCAACGAGAGACUCGGUGAAAUUAUAGUACCUGUGAAGAUGCAGGUUACCCGCGACAGGACGGAAAGACCCCGUGGAGCUUUACUGCAGCCUGAUAUUGAAUGUUGGUACAGCUUGUACAGGAUAGGUAGGAGCCUUGGAAACCGGAGCGCCAGCUUCGGUGGAGGCAUCGGUGGGAUACUACCCUGGCUGUAUUGACCUUCUAACCCGCCGCCCUUAUCGGGCGGGGAGACAGUGUCAGGUGGGCAGUUUGACUGGGGCGGUCGCCUCCUAAAAGGUAACGGAGGCGCCCAAAGGUUCCCUCAGAAUGGUUGGAAAUCAUUCGCAGAGUGUAAAGGCACAAGGGAGCUUGACUGCGAGACCUACAAGUCGAGCAGGGACGAAAGUCGGGCUUAGUGAUCCGGUGGUUCCGCAUGGAAGGGCCAUCGCUCAACGGAUAAAAGCUACCCCGGGGAUAACAGGCUUAUCUCCCCCAAGAGUCCACAUCGACGGGGAGGUUUGGCACCUCGAUGUCGGCUCAUCGCAUCCUGGGGCUGUAGUCGGUCCCAAGGGUUGGGCUGUUCGCCCAUUAAAGCGGUACGCGAGCUGGGUUCAGAACGUCGUGAGACAGUUCGGUCCCUAUCCGUCGCGGGCGCAGGAAAUUUGAGAGGAGCUGUCCUUAGUACGAGAGGACCGGGAUGGACGCACCGCUGGUGUACCAGUUGUUCUGCCAAGGGCAUCGCUGGGUAGCUAUGUGCGGACGGGAUAAGUGCUGAAAGCAUCUAAGCAUGAAGCCCCCCUCAAGAUGAGAUUUCCCAUUCCGCAAGGAAGUAAGAUCCCUGAAAGAUGAUCAGGUUGAUAGGUCUGAGGUGGAAGUGUGGCGACACAUGGAGCUGACAGAUACUAAUCGAUCGAGGACUUAACC
rnacentral:rRNA from 1 species